UACGGGGGGGGCAAGCGUUGUUCGGAAUUACUGGGCGUAAAGGGCCAGUAGGCGGACCUGCAAGUCGGGGGUGAAAGCCCGAGGCUCAACCUCGGAACUGCCUUCGAUACUGCGGGUCUCGAGUCCGGGAGAGGUGAGUGGAAUUCCUAGUGUAGAGGUGAAAUUCGUAGAUAUUAGGAAGAACACCAGUGGCGAAGGCGGCUCACUGCCCGGUACUGACGCUGAGGCGCGAAAGCGUGGGGAGCAAACAGG
rnacentral:rRNA from 1 species